rnacentral:rRNA from 1 species
GACGAACGCUGGCGGCGCGCCUAACACAUGCAAGUCGAACGAGCGAGAGAGAGCUUGCUUUCUCGAGCGAGUGGCGAACGGGUGAGUAACGCGUGAGGAACCUGCCUCAAAGAGGGGGACAACAGUUGGAAACGACUGCUAAUACCGCAUAAGCCCACGGCUCGGCAUCGAGCAGAGGGAAAAGGAGCAAUCCGCUUUGAGAUGGCCUCGCGUCCGAUUAGCUAGUUGGUGAGGUAAUGGCCCACCAAGGCGACGAUCGGUAGCCGGACUGAGAGGUUGAACGGCCACAUUGGGACUGAGACACGGCCCAGACUCCUACGGGAGGCAGCAGUGGGGAAUAUUGCACAAUGGGGGAAACCCUGAUGCAGCGACGCCGCGUGGAGGAAGAAGGUCUUCGGAUUGUAAACUCCUGUUGUUGAGGAAGAUAAUGACGGUACUCAACAAGAAAGUGACGGCUAACUACGUGCCAGCAGCCGCGGUAAAACGUAGGUCACAAGCGUUGUCCGGAAUUACUGGGUGUAAAGGGAGCGCAGGCGGGAAGACAAGUUGGAAGUGAAAUCCAUGGGCUCAACCCAUGAACUGCUUUCAAAACUGUUUUUCUUGAGUAGUGCAGAGGUAGGCGGAAUUCCCGGUGUAGCGGUGGAAUGCGUAGAUAUCGGGAGGAACACCAGUGGCGAAGGCGGCCUACUGGGCACCAACUGACGCUGAGGCUCGAAAGUGUGGGUAGCAAACAGGAUUAGGUACCCUGGUAGUCCACACUGUAAACGAUGAUUACUAGGUGUUGGAGGAUUGACCCCUUCAGUGCCGCAGUUAACACAAUAAGUAAUCCACCUGGGGAGUACGACCGCAAGGUUGAAACUCAAAGGAAUUGACGGGGGCCCGCACAAGCAGUGGAGUAUGUGGUUUAAUUCGACGCAACGCGAAGAACCUUACCAAGUCUUGACAUCCCUUGACGAUGCUGGAAACAGUAUUUCUCUUCGGAGCAAGGAGACAGGUGGUGCAUGGUUGUCGUCAGCUCGUGUCGUGAGAUGUUGGGUUAAGUCCCGCAACGAGCGCAACCCUUAUGGUCAGUUACUACGCAAGAGGACUCUGGCCAGACUGCCGUUGACAAAACGGAGGAAGGUGGGGAUGACGUCAAAUCAUCAUGCCCUUUAUGACUUGGGCUACACACGUACUACAAUGGCGUUAAACAAAGAGAAGCAAGACCGCGAGGUGGAGCAAAACUCAGAAACAACGUCCCAGUUCGGACUGCAGGCUGCAACUCGCCUGCACGAAGUCGGAAUUGCUAGUAAUCGCAGAUCAGCAUGCUGCGGUGAAUACGUUCCCGGGCCU